rnacentral:rRNA from 1 species
GACGAACGCUGGCGGCGUGCUUAACACAUGCAAGUCGAACGGAAAGGCCCUGCUUUUGUGGGGUGCUCGAGUGGCGAACGGGUGAGUAACACGUGAGUAACCUGCCCUUGACUUUGGGAUAACUUCAGGAAACUGGGGCUAAUACCGGAUAGGAGCUCCUGCUGCAUGGUGGGGGUUGGAAAGUUUCGGCGGUUGGGGAUGGACUCGCGGCUUAUCAGCUUGUUGGUGGGGUAGUGGCUUACCAAGGCUUUGACGGGUAGCCGGCCUGAGAGGGUGACCGGGCAGCGGGGGGCGGAGCGACGGCCCAGACUGCGGCGGGAGGGGGCGGUGGGGAAGAGUGAGCGGGGGGCGGAGGACGGAUGGGAAGACGCGGGGGGGUGGGGGGCGGCUGUGGGGUGUUAAGCUGCUGCAGACGGAGAAGAAGGGGGAGGGAGGUUAAGGGGUAAGGAAGAGCGGGCUAAGUGCGUGCCAGCAGAAGGGGUAAUAGUCGAAGAGCACACGGCGGAAC